CUCCCCCUCUCCCACACUCUAUAGUUUAUUCUUCAAAAAACCCCAACUUUGCUCUCAUCUCAUUUCUCAGUCGCAGAACAACUCUCGGCGUGAUCAAGCUUUGAGAAGAAUAAUAAUGUGCUUCUCGUUCUUUCCAGUUAAUCAUAAUGAAGAGAAAACCAUCAUCAAAUGACUAAAAUGAGGACAUUCCCAGCAAGCGUGCAAAAAAUAGCAAAAAAGGAAAUGAGACAAUUAAUGGUGAAAACUAUGAUGGCAGAAGGCAGCAAGCAGCGUAAACAACCUCAAAAAAAAAGGCACAAACUCAUGAAAAGGAGGCUGAGGAAGAAGACGAGCCAAAGGCCAAAAAACAUGGUACUGUUCAGUGCCGGUGCUGCGAUGAGAGGAUCGCAUUUGUUGUCAAACAAAUGAAUGAUCUAAAAAAGAAAGCCAUUGAUGAUAUAUGCUAUGGUUAUCUCCUCUUCAACCAGGUGCCCAUAGUCAGUGUCCAUUUGUUAUGGUACUUGUUUUAGCGGUUAGACCAAGACACUAUGAAUCUCACCAUUGAUGAGGUGACUUACACUGUCACAGUUGAAUCCCUUCAGGAAAUACUUGGUGUCAAAGAUGGUGAUACACUAAUCGAUCCAUUAAUACUUAGUGAAGAUGUUUUUGCAAUUGCAGAAUCUGUGGUGGGGAAUGGGUGUCAGAUAAAAGUAUCCAUAUUGAAGAAGAAGCUGAGUUCAACAGAAGGGACAAACAAUUUUUUUGUGAUUCAUUUUAUGAUGCUUGCUCUAGGUACUUUCUUGUGCCCUACAUCAGGGUACUUUGUGAACAGAAAAUUUCUGACCAUAUUAAAAGAUGUUGACAAGUUAAAGGAUCUAAAUUGGGCCACCUUUGUGUUCAAUUUCAUGAAGAAUUGCAUGAAAGGUUUGAUCAAAAGGCUAAAGAAAGGCUGCACAUUCUUUCUUUAGGGUUCAGCGAGGCUCGGAGUAGGGGACUCUGCUCGGGGCAUCGGUGCUUGGGAAGCUCGAGACACAGUGAGAGCCGGGAACGGCGAAGUCUGAGAAUGGUGAAGGCCGAGUACGAAAAGGGGCCGGGAGCAGCGUUUAGCACGCGACCCUCUAGAACAGGUUGGACGCCAGGAAGAGGGGCAAUGCCAGUGUCGUGCCUCCAUUCACAAAUUUAAGGAGAAAAACUCACUCUGAUGAAUUCAUAUUGACUAAGUUCAUAUUUGCAGAUAAUCUGGCUAAGUUGUACUCGUUGGUCAAGUUUAGGAAGCUGAGCUUACUAUGACUAAAAUGGCAUGCCUAAAACCAAAGAUGCAGAUCAUGGACACAGUGAUUACUUGCUGUGCCCACAUUAUCACGUUGAAGGAACGUGCCGCCUCACCAGACGGUGUUCCGAAGUUUUGUUUCAUGCCUUGUUGUGUAUCUAUAAAAUGCAAAUCUGGGCUUGGCAAAGUCGGUAGUGAAGUUCUCUAAGGAACAAGAGUGGGAUAAAAUAUUUUAUGUUGAUUUCGGCGUUACUAAACAGAUGUUGGUCCCCAUGAUAUGAAAAGUAUGGGGUAAUCAUUGGAUUAUGUCACACAUCGACACCGUUAAAGAAAGGGUGUUCGUAUAUGAUUCGAUGAUGUCGGGUAGAAACAAGGAGGCCUGCUUGAAGACCACUUUGGAGACGAAUUCGCAAAAGACGUCCCAGCAUAGGACAAUGGGUUUAAUUGUGGGAUUUAUGUCAUGAAAUUUAUGGAAGCAUUUUCAAAUUGUUAUUCCAUUGGUCGUGUAAAUGAGCAUGGAAGGCGGGACAAAUUCAUGGCGGCUUUGGCAUGUGUUGUAACGCCCUGGAUAGCCAAGACCGUUACACUGUGUGUUUAUUAAAGUGCUAGACUUGCUAAUCAAGUCAUUUAGUUAAAAUCGUGUUACUGAAACCAUAAUGGAACUAGGGUUAAAAGAUUUUGGUCUCAAAAGUCACAUUUCUUAUAAAGAAACAUUUCCUGUUUACACGGGAUCCCAAAAAUAUUAAAAUUAAACCAUUUACAAAAGAUUUAGGAAUUAAAUACAGUAGCUGUAUUAAGGCAAAAAAGACAAUUAGGCAAUCUCUGUCCUAAUCCAAUUCUCGGCCACGGUGACCGAACAGCUGACUAUGUACAUUCAACCUCGCAGCUCUCCAUCUCAAGAUUGGUCCAACUUGCCUUUGCCUUUACCUGCACCACGUAGCACCCAUGAGCCAAGGCCCAGCAAGAAAACACAAUAACAGAGCAUAAGCAAUCAACAGACAAUUCAAUAUCUCAUAUUGCAUAUCAUAUUCUCAACCAUAUAAACAUUCAAAAUAAUAAAGUAUUCAGCAUACUAAACAUAUCAACUCAUAUCAUAUAUCAAUUUACAAAUGAUAACUAGGGUUAGCGCCCUCAGGCCGCACCCUCCGUUAUCCCACUGACUCCGGUCUUCUUAAACCGAGCUCAAUGAAUAUUAAGCUAUCCUCGGCUAUUAGUGGCCAAGCCGCAUGCUAUGCGCAAAUAUUGUGUACGGCACCCCUAGGCCGCUAUCACAUGUCCCAUGGCAUAAUACCAUCAUUGACAUUAUACAGAUAUCGGGAGCACUUAGUCCCAUCACAAGCAUAUAACCGGGUGCAGUUUUCUUACCUUUAGAUUCGCUAGUUUGAUCACUUGACUCCUUGAGCACGAUCCCUCUCAAGCCCUAGCGAUCACCUAAUCACAACCAUAGGUCAAAGUCAUCAUCAAACCUCAAGUCCGAAACCUAGCCUCGAGACUAAUCCCAAGCUCCCGGGAAGUCCUAAUUCUACCAAACAGGGUGGUGGAAUCGAACCCCGAACCCUUGGUCAAAAACCCUUGUAAAUAACCCUAAAAUCCCUUUCUGAAGACAGGGUAGCGCUACAGUGCUCAUUGGAGGGCGCUACAGCCCUACAAAUAGAACCAAAAUUCCCUCAGCAAGCUUGGCCUAGCGCUACAGCGCCCAAAGCCUAGCGCUGUAUUGCUAGUCACAGACAGCCAACACCACAUUUUCCCUUCAUGCGAUUUCCUCGAGCCAAACUCAACCAAAACUUCUCCAAACCUUCUCCAAACUUAAAAACAAACUUACUAACACACUUCACUCAUCCUAAGCAUCCCAAAUACUCAAAACCCAAUCACAUGCAUCCCUAAUCUCAAAAUUCACCAUUGUUGCUCAUAGACUUCAGAAACUCAGCAAAAACUAGUCAAGACAUCAAAGUUUAAAGCUCAGAAUUUAUACAUUUGAUGGAAAUUCGACCUUAAGUUGCCUCUAGACCUCCUUAGCUUGCUCUUUCUCAAUCCUUGGCUCCAACUUUCCUAGAAUUCCCCAUCAAUUCAGCUUAGAUACCUUAGUUAGAAAUCAAAACCAGAACUGGAGAAACUUCAAAGUCUUACCUCACCCAAAUGGCUUAUCUUUGAUAAACCCUUGCCAAAUCUUCAAACCUAACUCAGAAACCUUAUGGCUCAGCUUGACCUAGCUCUCCUUUGAAUUUUGCUCCAAGAAAAUUGAAGAGAAACGUUGAGAGAACCACAAACCGACCCUUUUGAAAAACUGCUCUGUUUUCUCUCUUUUUCUUUCUUUCCUUAGCCUUCUACCAUUUUCUACAAUUCCCACUAAGCAUAAAGCCUCAGCAUACUUAUCUCCUGCAAGCCAAAUGACCAUAAUGCCCUCCUUUUUAAUUUAAAUCCUUUAAUCCACUUAAGGGCAUUUUAGUCAUUUUACCCAAUUCCCGCUAAUUCCUCAAGCGUCUCUAACAUUUUCUGCUUACUUUCCGAUACCUAAUUAAUCACCAAUUAUAUUCCUCAUUACCAAAAUUAACCUCGAUGUAUUCUCUAAAUUCCCAUUCAUACCCCCAGGCUCGCCCCGAGCCGGGCAUAAAUCCAUGCCGUGACUUUUUUGCUAAUCUGCUCACUAGGAUCGUCUCGAGUCACAAAUCACAGAUAUAUCCACAUAAUAAUGUGGUCUCAACAAUUAUCGCAUAUAUAUACAGUUAUGCCUGCAACAGGCCAAAAUUACGAUUAUGCCCUUCUAACCUAAUCAGGGCCUACAUGCAUACUAAUACACAUAGUCAUGCAUCUCAAGUAUUCAAAUAGUCAUAUAACAUGCUUUAAAUCAUUAAAUCACAUAUAUUCCAAUUAUGCCCUCCCGGCACACUAAUCAAGGCCCUUAAGCCUUAUUAGUAAAUUGGGUCGUUACAUGUGUAUUGGGAGAGGACUAAAUGAAUGUAUCGAUGGGAAUGAUUGAGGAUGAUGUUUUAUGUCUUGAGUCUUUUUAAUAAAAGUUUUGUUUUCUUUAUGUUCUUAUGUAAUAAAAAUGGGAUCCCAUAUUUUGGAUUUUCUAAUAAAGUUAUAUUAUUUUAUGUAUGUAUUCGAAAAUAAUAGCUAUGUCUUAGUAGUUUUAAUGGUCCGAGGUCUUUAAGUUAGUCAGGUCAUUACACUAUGAUGUUUUGAAACUAACAUGGUUCAUGUUUUUUUUAUUUUAUCUAGUACUUAAGUUUAUUUAAACAUAGUGUUUAUAGAUAGUUAUCUUAUCUAAAUGGGUGAAAGGAAAUGGUUAAACGUUAUUUACCUAUGUUUUCGGUGAGAACUCGUCAAUGAUGUUAAGUUAGAAAAAUCAAAGUAUAGUGCUUAUGAAUGAAGAACUUCAAAAAUCUAAUUAGAAACUUAGAUAAUAGUUGCAGAAGAAAAAUGGAGAAAGGAACUUGUAUUUCUCUCUUGUAUCAAGCUACAAUUUUUUUCCAAACCCCCUUCAAUGUUUAAGAUUGGUUCCCUUUAUAGUGGGCUCUAAUGGCCCGCGAUACAUUGUGGUCUUGGGGACCAGAUCGUACACAAGUACAUUGUCAGGAGAGUGGUUUCAGGUGUAGUGGUGUUGAAAGAAUGGUGGUCUACUCCAAUACGUGUCAGGGGUCUGCAAAAGCACUCUUGUCUUGGUACCAUAUUAUGCCUCCACUACUUGUCAGAUACGGACCUCAUAAGCGUGCUGAGGGAGUCCGUACCAUAUACCAUUCUUAUACGACCAUUACUUUUCUGGCAUGGAUAUCGUGCCUGUACUCUAACUCCUCUUGGUUUGUAGGCGCAUAUCGUACUUGUACAGCCUCCUCGAGCCACAGGUUUUUAUCCUCGCAAGGUAUUUUAUUCCCAUGGACUUCAAGUGUUGAAACCCUUAUACAUUAUUCCAAGGUUCUUGGCAAACAUGGACCUUGUGGAAUGGCUCCAUGAAAAUGACCUCGUUAUGCCUUCGUUGGGACACCCCCAACAAUCCUUGUGAUGGGUGGUCAUGCGAGGCGAGGCUCCUAGGCGCGCGAGACGGCACCUGGUGAGGCUCCUAGGCGCGCGAGAUGGCUCCUGGGCGAGGCCCCUAGGCACGCGAGAUGGCUCCUGGGCGAGGCCCCUUGGAGCGAGGCCAUGAUGCACGACCCUUGGCACGAGCCCCUGGUGGUGUUGCGAGGCCCUGCGCACGGAUCCCAGGUGGUGUCGCGAGGCCCUGCGCGCGAAUCCUAGGUGGUGUCACGAGGCUUUACGCGUGGAUCCCAGGUGGUGUCGCGAGGCCCUGCACACGGAUCCCAGGUGGUGUCACGAGGCCAUGCUAAGGAUCCCACUCGAGUGGAGGUAGUUGCGAGAUGGGUCUCGCGAGGGGCUAAUGCGCGUGAUAAGGGGCGCUGCCUGGUGUGCGAGUAGUGGCCUUGCUGGGUGCGCCGAGUGGAGGCAGUCGCGAGAUGGGUCUCGUGAGAGGCUCUUGCACGAGGCGUUGCCUCGCUGGGUGCAUGGGUGCUAGGCAUGCCGAGAAUAGCCUCACUUGCCUCCUUGCGAGAAGAUGGUAGCCCAAGGGCCUUGUGGCACAAGCAUGUAUUUAGGCAUUUAGGGGACCUUAGCAUGUGCUUUGUAUCUCUUACAAGCAUGGAGUUUUGAGCAUCCACACUUGCCCCUCAGUCUAGGAGAGGACCUUUAGGUGCUCUGGUAGACUCUUCUCUUUGGUUCUUAGAAAUAGGCCUCCAAAGCAUAGAUGGUGUUUGUGAUGAUCCUUGUUAUUACUUUGCGGUUGAAUGUGAGCCUAUUAUUUGGCCUCGCAGAUCCCAAUGUGGGUGUUUGGAUCCAUUUUGGACCAUAGAUCAAGUGCGGGAUUUAAUGGCUAAGAUGAGCUCAUGAUUCCUAUAAAUAGUCCUUCAUGUCUAGCCUAUCCUUUACACUUUAUCUCUUUGGCUUAGUGGUUUUGGAAUCCUUACUCUUUUCAAGAGACACGUACUUUCGGCCCUCUGCUUCUCUUCGACCGUGACGGUGCUUUUGACCCUCGGCCUCCUUUUGACCACAUCAGCGCUCGAUUUUACUUACUUGAGAAAUGUUGAAAAGAUAACAGCGAUAGGUGGCCCCUGAGAAGCAAGACCCUGGUCUCUUAUUGGCAUCCACCCUAGUGUCCCAUGUUUCUGAAAAUAAAUUGCUAGAAUUAGCGGAGAAAUAUUGUGUUAGCCCAGAGUACAAGUUAUAUGUUCCUUCAAACAAGUACCGGGCUGAUAACCCUACUCAGGGUUAUGUGGCCAUGAGUGAGCACAUCUUGAAGGCGGGUUGUACAAUUCCAUUACACCCGUUUUUCGUCAUGGUUCUUAACCAUUUUGACCUUGUUCCACUCCAGUUGGCGCCCAACAGCUGGCUGACCUUGAGCUUUAUUGCGUAUAUGGAGCAUAACGGGCGUGCUCCCAUAGCUCAAGAGGUGCAUUACAUGUACAACCUCAUGCUCACUCCUAAAUCCAAAGGCUUUUAUUUCCUGCAGAAAGCCAAUUCUUCGGUCUCCUUGAUAGAGGGUUCUGUGUCCAACCAAGCACGACUUCUUCUUUGUGAAAGGUCCCAUUUCUGUUCCUGAGCACUUUCACUCAGCUCCUAGUAAGUACUUCAAGUUUUUUUUUAACUUACUGUUUUGGAACUUAUGUUCGUGUUGGCAACUGUGCGGAUUGUGCAGAGAAGUUCAUCGUGCCCGACGUUCUCGGGUUGGAGGCGGAUGUAAUGGAUAAAUUUCUCGAUGCUGGCCCUAUCGGAAAAAUGGCUGCACGUCUCUUCACCAUGACCAACCUCAACCGUUACAAGCUAUCCCCGGUUUCAGAGCCUGAGCAGAAGCAAAAGGGCUAUUUUGGCUGAGCCUCACUCUGAUGGGGUGAAGUAGAGUGUGUGCCGGAGGAGGUCUCCCCAGAACAUAGGCGACCUCGCCGACCAUCUCUGUCUCCCAGGGGGUGCUCUCCUUUAGCCCCUACAGACCAUGACAUGGCCUCUCACUCCCAUGAUCAAUAGGCUGUGCUGAGGGGCUUCGUCUGUCACUUUUCUGAGGACUAGGAUGCUUUCUCUCAUGCUUUGCUCAAUCCUGGUCCGUUGGGGGCUCAUUUUUCCGAUAUUCCUGCGCCCCCUCCUCCUUCGGUGAACGGGUCAUCUGUCCUUACCCAGCUAGGCGCCCUUGACUCAGAGGGGGCACCUUGGGUGGGCCACAUGGCGACCUUUUAUGGGCAACGGUAUGUCCAGGUCGCUAGGGACCUUCCUGAGGCUGAUUGGAGAGGCCUCGGGAGUUCCACCAUGUCAAAGCUUGGGGAGACUCUUGUACGCUCUGCCACUUGGCUGAGUUUAAGAAUCUUACAUCAGCCUUACCUCUUUUCUUUUCUCUUGUUUUUUUGCCUGUCAUCAUUAUUGCUAUUUUUCUUGUGCAGACUUAUACAGUGGCCCAACGAUUUUCCAACUCGGCGCAGGACCUCUCCUCGUCGAAUGCUGAAAGGGACCGUCUAACGGUCAAGGUCCAGGGGCUCGAGAGGGAGCUUAUUGAAAGCAACCUCAAGCUUUAGAAGGCCCUGGCAAGGGCCUCUUCAUCAUCAAACAAGAAGAAGAGGGCGACUGCCAAAGCCGUGAUGCUGCAGGACAAGGUUACUCGCUUAGAUGCCGAUCUUGAGGGUGCAAAGGCCACAAUCUCAACAUUGCAGGGGAGGGUCACUUCCUUAGAGGAAAAUAUGGCCAAUAUCGAAUGUCAAUCCAUAGAGAGCGCCCUCUACGGAGUAUGGAGGCAAAAUCCUAAUUUCGACUUCUCCUCCUUUGGUGAGCACGCUGUUGCUAGGGUGGCUGAGUGGAACGCCUACGGCAGGAGGCCUUAAGAUCUUGCGUAUGCAAUUUUUACUGUUCAAUUCAAUGUGGUUGUAUGCUCAUUUGAGCCUUAUCUUGUUUUUAAUUUCUUUGAGUCCUGUCACACUAUCGAAGCUCUUUUUUUUAUAUGUAUACAUAUGUGAUUAUUCAUCUUUAUUCCUCUAUGUUCGAGGUCCCUUUGAGCCCGCACAAUGGGGUUUGAUAGGUUGUCUUUUUUAUUUAUUAGGCUUGAGGUCCUUUGGAGCCCAUGCGAAGGGGUUCAAUAAGUCCCUCUUUGGUUCUUUGGUGCCUCUUGAUUGUAUCUAUAAGGAUAUAUUGACCCUUUGGGUUCUAGUUAUCCUUUUAUACAUUUUUGCACGCGCUUAUUAUUUCUUGCGAGAAGUGUCCUCGUCAUUGUUCAUAAUACUAUUUUUGCAAGGGUCUCUUUUAGGACCCUUUUUGGCUAGACGGCUUGGUGGCCGCUCUAGGCUUAUUGGUGGGCGCUUCUCCUGAGGCACUUCCUCUUAUGGAAGCAUUUACUCUUAUUAGGAUGCUUUUCUUGUAGGACCUUUUGACCUCCUUGAUGUUCAUAACGGUAGCUAAUCCUUGUGAACUCAAACGAUGCCUUACAAGGUCUUCUUCUUUAUUUAUAAGGGGGGGUCCUUUUAGGAUCUUGAUAUAAGGGGUCUUUUUAGGAUCCUCCUGAUAUAAGAGGUCCUUUUAGGAUCCUUCUGAUAAGGGGUCCUUUUAGGAUCCUUCUGAUAAGGGGUCCUUUUAGGAUCUCCUAAUAUAAUGGGUUCUUUUAGGAUCCUUUUGAUAUAAGGGGUCCUUUUAGGAUCCUCCUGAUAAGGGGUCCUUUUAGGAUCCUCCUAAUAUAAGGGGUCUUUUUAGGAUCCUUCUGAUAAGGGGUCCUUUUAGGAUCCUCUUGAUAUAAGGGGCCCUUUUAGGAUCCUCUUGAUAAGGGUUCCUUUUAGGAUCCUCGUGAUAUAAGGGAUCCUUUUAGGAUAUAAACGAGACCCUUUUUUUUUUCGACCCCUUAUGUACUCUGCCCCCCAAGUGGUUGGUGAGAUCACUACACCAAAUAUCUGUUUUCAUAAUAUAAUAAUAUAAUUCUACUAAAAAAGUAUUAUGAUAUGUAUGUGGUAAAUGGAAAAAAACGGCGGCAAUAUAUUUUGGGAGCCCGCCUAUAACUUGUAAAAGUUAUAUUUUUUUUUUGGCCUCUCUCUCUUUCAUGUGCUGUCCUUGGUCUCUUCCUCACUCUCUCAACCACCGCUCUUUCAACUUCAAUCCCAAUUCACUCUCUUCUUCUCAAUCUCAACAUCAACCCCUCCCUCCCGACUUCACCUCCAAGCAGCUUCUCGACACCCUUCGUCGCCAGAAUGAUGAAUCCUCUGCGCUUCGCAUCUUCGACUGGGCCUCGAAACAGCCUAAUUUCUCACCCACUACCUCCAUCUACCAGGAGAUUCUUCACAAACUCGCCAAGGUUGGCUCUUUUGACUCCAUGACCAAUCUCCUUCUUGAUAUGAAGCGCUCCUCUUGCCCCGUCGAUAAAGAUACAUUCUUGAUUUUCAUCUAGAGCUAUGCCCAGUUCGAGUUAUAUGAUGAACUUUUGGCUCUUGUCUCACUCAUGGAGGAUGAGUUUGGGGUGAAACCCGAUACCCAAGUCUCUCCAAUAUUUUCGUGUCACCCUCUUUGUCGUGGGAAAAUUUUGGGUAUUGUGGAGAAGAAGGGUAACCUGUGUACGAGCUUAAUUAUUUUGGGCAGAGAGUGUGGGGUGGGCUGUGGAGAGAAGAAUAUGCGUAGUCAAAUAUAAGAGUUCGACUAGGUAUACGGUUAUGGUCAUAUGUAAGAGAAGAAGCCUCUCAUGGAAGGAAGUGGGAGCAUAUCUAGAGGUUUUGGAGGUGAAUUCAGGCAAUUUCAAAUUGUUCCUGGUUUAUGUGAAGGUUCUCCGGUCAUGGCCAAUCAAUUUUCUGCCAGCCAAUCAAUUUUCUGCCAGGAAACUCUUACUCCAUAAAAUGGAAUUGAGGAACAUAGUGUAUAUGGGCAAUGGUUGUGAUGGAUGAUGGCUGCCAUAUACAUGGGUGGUCGAAUCCCUCAGAUAUCAACUUUACUUUCAUGACAUAUAGAAUGGUCAAUAUUGAAGUGGGCUAUCCCAUUUGAUGUUUCCAGAGGUACGUUAUAUGAUGUAGUAAUUAAAGUAUAAACCUGAUUUAUGUGUC